rnacentral:rRNA from 1 species
UGGGGAAUCAUGGUCAAUGGGCGAAAGCCUGAACCUGCGACGCCGCGUGAGUGAUGAAGGUCGUAAGAUCGUAAAACUCUUUUCAGGGAUCUUAAAGCCUGUCUGUCAACAACAGGCAGGUCUGACUCUCCCUGGAAGAAGCCCCAGCCAACUACGUGCCAGCAGCUGCGGUAAUACGGAAGGUGCAAGCGUUAGUCGGAAUUACUGGGCGUAAAGGGUGCGUAGGCGGGAAUGUAAGUCGGUUGUGAAAUUCCGAAGCUCAACUUCGGAGCUGCAAUCGAAACUACAUUUCUCAGAGGAAUGGCGGAGAGAAUGGAAUUCCAUAUGUAGCGGUGAAAUGCGUAGAUAUAUGGAAGAACACCUGUGGCGAAAGCGGUUCUCUAGCCUCCUCCUGACGCUGAGGCACGAAAGCAAGGGGAGCAAACA